rnacentral:tRNA from 1 species
GGGGGUGUGGUGAAAUGGUAGACACAACGGACUUAAAAUCCGUUGAUUGCAUAAUCGUGAGAGUUCGAAUCUCUCCACCCCCA